GACGAACGCUGGCGGCGUGCUUAACACAUGCAAGUCGAACGCUGAAGCUCAGCUUUUGUUGGGUGGAUGAGUGGCGAACGGGUGAGUAACACGUGAGUAACCUGCCUCCUUCUUUGGGAUAACGCCCGGAAACGGGUGCUAAUACUGGAUAUUCACUGGUCUUCGCAUGGGGGUUGGUGGAAAGGGUUUUUCUGGUGGGGGAUGGGCUCGCGGCCUAUCAGCUUGUUGGUGGGGUGAUGGCCUACCAAGGCUUUGACGGGUAGCCGGCCUGAGAGGGUGACCGGUCACAUUGGGACUGAGAUACGGCCCAGACUCCUACGGGGGGCAGCAGUGGGGAAUAUGGCACAAUGGGCGCAAGCCUGAUGCAGCGACGCCGCGUGAGGGAUGGAGGCCUUCGGGUUGUGAACCUCUUUCGCUCAUGGUCAAGCCGCAACAAUGGUUGUGGUGAGGGUAGUGGGUAAAGAAGCGCCGGCUAACUACGUG
rnacentral:rRNA from 1 species